GUGGGGAAUCUUCCACAAUGGACGAAAGUCUGAUGGAGCAACGCCGCGUGAGUGAAGAAGGGUUUCGGCUCGUAAAGCUCUGUUGUCGGGGACGAAUGUGCAGUAUUUGAAUAAAGUACUGUAAUGACGGUACCUGACGAGGAAGCCACGGCUAACUACGUGCCAGCAGCCGCGGUAAUACGUAGGUGGCAAGCGUUGUCCGGAAUUAUUGGGCGUAAAGGGAGCGCAGGCGGGAAGGUAAGUCGGUCUUAAAAGUGCGGGGCUCAACCCCGUGAUGGGAUCGAAACUAUCUUUCUUGAGUGCAGGAGAGGAAAGUGGAAUUCCUAGUGUAGCGGUGAAAUGCGUAGAUAUUAGGAGGAACACCAGUGGCGAAGGCGACUUUCUGGACUGUAACUGACGCUGAGGCUCGAAAGCCAGGGGAGCGAACGGGAUUAGAAACCCGGGUAGUCC
rnacentral:rRNA from 1 species